rnacentral:lncRNA from 1 species
GUCGGGGUAGCCGGAGAGCAGGCAGGUGCAGACGGGAGGGAGGUUGUCCUCCGGCAGAUGCGGCAGCUGGAUCCUCGUGCGAGGGUCGUGAGGGUCGAGAAGGUAGGUGGACGAGGCGGCGGCGUCGCGGACCAGGACCCAGCCCUGCGGGGUUGCCCAGAAGUUGCUGUUCUUGAGCUCGCCGGUGCCGUCGACGCCGAUGGCCUUCUUCUCCGAG